rnacentral:lncRNA from 1 species
GAUUCGCAGCUUUCUGUCGCCGGCAUUUAAAAUUUUGUGAUUUCUUUAAUAAAAAGCGAGUUUAAUGUAUACUAUAUUUGUUCGUAAACUCUUGUGUGUGGUAUCGCUGAGCUCUCCAAAAAACGCGGUUUAAUACUACACAUCAGCACACUGUCGCCCAAUGGCUGAACCGGCAGGGAUAUUAUUAAUUAACUUGAUGGCAAUUAAUGAAAUUUACGUAAGUAAAUUUUACCAGUGGUGUCCGAACGGACUUGAUGAAAGGGUGACGCUCCAGAGCGCGGCGCUACCUUCUUCUGUAGAGGAGACCUGGAUUAUCUCCCGAAGUUGAUGUUAUGCCUUAUGAUGAACUAUGUAGAAUGCAUAAGUACCCAAGGGAGUCACCACCCUCUGGUUUACGAACUAGGUGUUCUAAAGCUAGAGUCUUCGGCCGGAUACUGCUGUAGAUGAUGCUAGUACGACUUAUAGUAUUUCAGCAGAUUGUCCAACUUAAGAAGCAAUCUAGAAACUGGAAUUUGCUUGUAAAAAAUGAAAUACUACAAUAACAUAUUCCUAACAGUCCUGACACUCUUGGCUAACCUCCCAUGUUGAUGAAACCACAACAGUAGAUUAUCUUGAUUUGUUCACAAAUCUCAUAAUACUGGAUAGAACUACCUACCAGGAUUCUUCUUAAAAUUGAAUUGCUGGUAAACAAGUCUCUCGGGGAGGUUUAGCUCUUUUGAGAGGACGUGAGACAUUUUACUAGGGUUCAAUGCGGUGGUCAAUAUGAAAAAGCACUUUUCUUCAGCUGAAUCUUCCUUCUAUAAAUUAGAUUGUCGAACUUAUGAAGCAAUCUGGAACAUGGAAUUUGCUUGUAAAAAAUGGUAUAUUACAAUACAAUAUUCCUAACACUGGACUAACCUCCCUUAUGUUGAUGGAACAGCAGCAGUAGAUUGUCUAGACUUGUCACAAAUCUCAAAAUUGAUAGAGCUACCAGCAUUCUUCUUAAAAGUAUUUAUUUUGCUGCUUCUGGCUGUUGCUUCCCACCUGCUCUUCCUCAUCUUCAACAGGGUAAUACGUAGUAUUACGUAGUAAUAAAUUUUAUAUAGUAUUAAUAAAAAAUACUAUUAAAAAUUUAUUAUUGCUUAUUUUUUAUAAAGGUAUAUUUAAUAAAUUAAGUUACAUUAAUUAAUAGUGUUAAUAAAUAUAUAUAGUCUAUUAGCUAUAACGUCAAUGGAUUGGUUCUUCUAAUGGGUAUGCAACCAGAGAUACAUCAAUGGUGUAAUUCUGAAUUCCCAUUGUCUUUAAUUUUUAUAUUAUUUAGAUUCGUUUUAUUUUAUUAAAAAUGAUUAAAUUCAUCUAGAGUACUUACUUGAGUUAAGUAAUAUCCAUGCUAAUAUACUUUAUUACUACAAAAACACUACUUUUAUUCUUGUAUUAACGUAUUAAUGUAUAAAGUAUUGUAACUUUAAAUUUUCAAUUUUCGCGUCUAUUUGUAUUAGUUUAUUUUUUAGCUCAGUACAGUUAUACAGUUUACAGCUGAUAAUUAAACUAAUUAAAUACAGCAAUACAUAAAUAAAAUUAGUUUUUUAACAUAUGUUACAUGAAUGGCACACUUAUAUUUUAUUCUAUUUUACAUUAAUGCCGAUUAUAUUUUAUUUCUGUAAAACGAUAUGAGCAAUAUGAAUACAUUUAAUUUUGUCUCAAUACACAUUUUUAAUUUUUUUUUCAGUAUACAGUGGCAUAGCUUUUUAAAGACACGUAUAUAUUUUGUGGUAAACCUCUUAUUUCAGUUUUUUAAUUAUUAAUAUUAACCUCUUUUAUUAAUAUAAAAGGUGGCGUUAAAAGACGUUAAGAAUAAGGUGGUAUUUAUUAAUGAUUGGUAAUAUGUUUUAUACUUUGUCCCCUUUUGUAAAAUUGUAGCAAGUUUAAUUGUUUAAUUUUAGAAUUUUUCAUUUUUUAAUUGUUGCGUCUUAAAUUAAAUUAAAGAUAAUAAUCUAGAAGAGAACAUUAACUAAAUUUUUUAGUGUUAGUGUCAAUGCAAUGAACUCUUAUAACUGUAGAAUUUUAUUCUACUUGUAUUCAUAGAGCUCCGUUUAAAAAUUAAUAUAAGCACUUUAUAAGAAUAAUUAUUCUUCAUAUGCUGGCAUUUCAUAAAGUUUUUAUAUUCUACUCUUAAACAUUUUACUCAUUGUCUACAUUUUAUGUAUUCCUAAAUGAAUUUAGAGUUAUUUUUAAAAUUCUUUUUAUAUAUUUAUCUAUACAUAUUAUAACCAGUAGUAGCUAAGCAAGUUUUUAUUACCUGGAGGCUCAUACUUUCUGAGAAAUUAAAUUUUUAAAAAAGUAAUUUUUGUCAUAUGAAGAAUUAAUUUGUAGCAUAGAGUUCUUAUUUUAAUUAAUUUCUUAAUGAUGCUAAUAUAUUAUUUUAUUUAUAAUAUACUGCAAAAUAUAAUGCUAUCUUCUAUUUCUAAGUUAUUGUAACAGCUUUGUUCAAAGGACGGUAUUUUUAGACCAAUAUUUUUUUGGGAUGCUAAUAGAAACUUGUCACGUACCUAUAAUGAACCACCUAUAUCUUUAUGCGAAAAUGUAUGAGGUCUUUUAUUUGUAGGAUAUUAAAGGAUUGUGCUGCUGUGUAAAUCGACGAUGUAGAAAAGGUAAGAAUUAGAUUAGCGGCUGUCGUAGAUUUUUUCUCAACUUUUGCUUCGCUCCUAUAGUUCAUUCUUUCAUUAUUCCUAUUAUCCGUUAAAUGAUCCAACUACAACAUAACUUUGAAAAUUUCCAAAAAAAAAUUAUUUUUUGCUAAAAUUUUGAGUACCACUGCGGAUCUUUUCUGGAUUUUCUUUCUUGUAAAUUUAAUCUAAUACCUAU